rnacentral:rRNA from 1 species
UGUGUAGGCGGUUGGAUAAGUGUGGUGUGAAAUCUCCCGGCUCAACUGGGAGGGUGCGCUACAAACUGUCUGACUAGAGUGUGGGAUGGGAGAGUGGAAUUCCUGGUGUAGCGGUGAAAUGCGUAGAUAUCAGGAGGAACACCGGUGGUGUAGACGGCUCUCUGGACCAUAACUGACGCUGAGACACGAAAGCGUGGGUAGCAAACAGGAUUAGAUACCCUGGUAGUCCACGCCCUAAACGAUGCAUAUUUGGUGUGGGCGAUUCAUUUCGUCCGUGCCGGAGCUAACGCGUUAAAUAUGCCGCCUGGGGAGUACAGUCGCAAGGCUGAA